AUGCCGUAGAAUCCUGUUAUGGGACAACUUGGAAGGUAUUUUCAGAUGACCGAAUAUUUCAUGUUUCUCCAGAGGAGGUAGAACAGUGUUAUUACCCCCCGUCCAGACAACACUUUGAAAGGCUUACUACCCUGCAAACAAGGACGACAGAAGAGGACGUCACCCAGCAGGGGUUUUCAGGAACACGGGACAGGCCAUCGACACAGAGCAAGCCGGCGAGCUAAUGGAGAAGGGGGCAAGCAGAUUAGAAUUUCAUCAAGAAAUACGAUCCUUGCAAUUAGUGAGCGCUUGCCCUGUGCUAGAGCUCCGUGCACGGCAGCUCGUGUGUUAGGUACCUGAGUGUGAACAUACCCAAACCGUGCUGCACGCACGAGGGGUGAAGGGGGCGGCUAGAAGGCUUGUGGUCAGCCGGGUGGGUGGUGCUACAGCGUCGGGAAGAUGACGUCAGCGGUCAGUGGGUGGGUGGCGCCGUGGCCUCAGGAAGGUGACCUCAGCGGUCUGCGGGUGGGCAGCGCUGCAGGGUCGGGAAGGUAACUUCAGCUGUCAGCGGGUGGGCAGCGCUGUGGCCUCGGGAAGGUAACUUCAGCUGUCAGCGGGUGGGCAGCGCUGUGGCCUCGGGAAGGUAACGUCAUUGGUCAGCGGGUGGGUGUCGCCCUGGCCCCGGAAGGUGACGUCAGCGGUCAGCCGGAUGGGUGCGCGGUGCUACAGCACCCGGGAGGGGACGUCAGUGGUCAGCGGGUAGACGGCACUGCAGCGUCGGGAAGGUGACGUCUGCGGUCAGCGGGUGGGCGGUGCCACGGCAUCAGGAAGUGACGUCAGCUGCUGUAAGGGCAAGCCCGCCCCGAGUGGUGGCCUCCGGCCGCAGAAGCCACGUCACCCUCUGUGCGCCGCAUGGCUGGUCUGCUCGGUGGCCUGGCCACUCCGCGCACGGGGAGAGGUGACAUGGAUUUACUGACUCGGUGGCCUCACCGCCGCCCACCAGAAGCGCACCAGUGUCCCUUUCUCCCUCUCCCCACAAAGGGAAACCUGGUCUGCUCUUGUCUAAGGCAGACGCCCUCAGCCCAGCUGCGGCACCCCGCCCAUCCCGGGGUCAUGCGCCACCACGUGCCACCCGGUCAGCGGCCCGGGAUGAGGCCCCCUGCUCGCCGGCCUCUGACUCCAAAAGCAAGUUUCUGCCCCUUGGCAGGCAGAGGAAGGGCUGGAUGGUUCUUGGAGAUCAAGCCACAUGCCUGCCCGAAUGGAAUGCCCCAUCCUGGCGUGUUCAUCAGGGAUGAAACGUAUGUUUCAGAAUGCUCUUUGCCUUUCCGCACAAGGGGAGAGCACAGCCUUGACGGCCGUCGGGGCCUGUGGCUCUCCUCAUCAGCAUCAGUCCGUGUCGGCCCAGGCCCCACGCACCUGCCUGUGACCUUGGGCACCUGGCUUCCUGCCCCCAGCCUUCAGCAUCAAGCAGAUGUAAAAUUCAUGUCCACAAAGAUGAUGAUGUUUUUGAGGUUUAAAUGAGUGAAUGAUUGCUAUAAAUAAAGAGAACUAAUAAAAAUAAUAACA
rnacentral:lncRNA from 1 species